rnacentral:misc_RNA from 1 species
GAAAUGCGAUAAGUAAUGUGAAUUGCAGAAUUCAGUGAAUCAUCGAAUCUUUGAACGCACAUUGCGCCCGCCGGUAUUCCGGCGGGCAUGCCUGUUCGAGCGUCAUUUCAACCCUCAAGCUCCGGCUUGGUGUUGGGGCGCCCGGGCCCCACCAGCGGCCCGGGGCCCCCAAGUUCAUCGGCGGGCUCGUCGGAACACUGAGCGCAGUACAACGCGGUAGAACGCGCCCUCGCUCGGCCCGUCCCGGCGCGCUUCCCAGCCGCUAAACCCCCAAAAUUACCACAAGGUUGACCUCGGAUCAGGUAGGAAUACCCGCUGAACUUAA